CAUCAGCAGCCUCCAGCUCCUAAG
rnacentral:misc_RNA from 1 species